AGCGAACGCUGGCGGCAGGCCUAACACAUGCAAGUCGAACGAACUCUUCGGAGUUAGUGGCGGACGGGUGAGUAACACGUGGGAACGUGCCUUUAGGUUCGGAAUAACUCAGGGAAACUUGUGCUAAUACCGAAUGAGCCCUUCGGGGGAAAGAUUUAUCGCCUUUAGAGCGGCCCGCGUCUGAUUAGCUAGUUGGUGAGGUAAAGGCUCACCAAGGCGACGAUCAGUAGCUGGUCUGAGAGGAUGAUCAGCCACAUUGGGACUGAGACACGGCCCAAACUCCUACGGGAGGCAGCAGUGGGUAAUCUUGCGCAAUGGGCGAAAGCCUGACGCAGCCAUGCCGCGUGAAUGAUGAAGGUCUUAGGAUUGUAAAAUUCUUUCACCGGGGACGAUAAUGACGGUACCCGGAGAAGAAGCCCCGGCUAACUUCGUG
rnacentral:rRNA from 1 species